rnacentral:rRNA from 1 species
CCCUUAGAUGUUCUGGGCGGCCCGCGCACUACAAUGGCGUGUGCAGCGAGUGCCGAAGUAGAGUUUUCCGAGGUAUUCUUGCAAUGCUCGUUUUGAUGGGGAUAGACCCUUGCAACUGUUGGUUUUUAACGAGGAAUUCCUUGUAAGCAUGGUUUAUCAUCCGACGCUGAAUGCGUCCCUGCCCUUUGUACACACCGCCCGUCGCUCCUACCGAUGAGUCGUCCGGUGAAGUUCGUAGACCUCGUGAUCGCGGAUCACUGGGGGAAGCAAAAUGAACCUCGCGGUUUAGAGGAAGGAGAAGUCGUAACA